AUUGAACGCUGGCGGCAGGCCUAACACAUGCAAGUCGAACGAGUGGCGGACGGGUGAGGAAUGUCUGGGAAACUUCCUGAUGGAUGGGGAUAACUACUGGAAACGGUAGCUAAUACCGCAUCCCAUCGGAUGUGCCCAGAGGGGAUUAGCUAGUAGGUGGGGUAAAGGCUCCCCUAGGCGACGAUCCCCUGCUGGUCUGAGGGGAUGACCACGCACACGGGAACUGAGGCCGGGUCCAGACGCCGACGGGAGGCAGCAGUGGGGAAUAUUGCACAAUGGGCGGAGGCCUGAUGCAGCCAUGCCGCGUGUAUGAAGAAGGCCUUCGGGUUGUAAAGUACUUUCAGCGGGGAGGCGUUACCCGCAGAAGAAGCACCGGCUAACUCCGUGCCAGCAGCCGCGGUAAUUC
rnacentral:rRNA from 1 species